rnacentral:lncRNA from 1 species
UAUACUUUUUUUUUACUUGAUGACAAUUUAAAUCAGAUUAGUAUCUGGUAAUUUGAUCUUUCACUUUAUAAAAUUUGCCUGCCGUAAAUAUUUAAUAUAAAUCCUUUCUAAAAUAUCCGAUACUGAAAACAGCGGUGUCCUUAUUCGGCACAUUUUGUACCUCUUUCGGAUAAAACAUCUUCCUUUUAACCAUCCGCAAAUCGUUGUCUAGGGAAAUACCUUCAGUUGGAAGAAAUCUUUGGGUUCCGCCAUCGUAAUCGGCUGCGACGAUGUAACU